GGAGAGGUGUCCGAGUGGCUGAAGGAGCACGCUUGGAAAGCGUGUAAUGGGUUAUACCAUUCGCGGGUUCGAAUCCCGUCCUCUCCU
rnacentral:tRNA from 1 species